rnacentral:rRNA from 1 species
CAUCAUGCCCCUUAUGACCUGGGCUACACACGUGCUACAAUGGAUGGUACAACGAGUCGCGAGACCGCGAGGUUUAGCUAAUCUCUUAAAACCAUUCUCAGUUCGGAUUGUAGGCUGCAACUCGCCUACAUGAAGCCGGAAUCGCUAGUAAUCGCGGAUCAGCAUGCCGCGGUGAAUA